AGCAGCCGCGGUAAUUCCAGCUCCAAUAGCGUAUAUUAAAGUUGUUGCAGUUAAAGAGCUCGUAGUUGAAUUUCGGGGUUAGUAGGUCGGUCAUGCCACUGGUAUGUACUGGUCUCACUGAUUCCUCCUUCCUGAUGAACCGUAAUGCCAUUAAUUUGGUGUUGCGGGGAGACUGGACUGUUACUUUGAAAAAAUUAGAGUGUUUAAAGCAGGCUAACGCUUGAAUACAUUAGCAUGGAAUAAUGAAAUAGGACGUUCGAUCCUAUUUUGUUGGUUUCUAGGAUUGACGUAAUGAUUAAUAGGGAUAGUUGGGGGCAUUAGUAUUCAAUUGUCAGAGGUGAAAUUCUUGGAUUUAUUGAAGACUAACUACUGCGAAAGCAUUUGCCAAGGAUGUUUUCAUUAAUCAAGAACGAAAGUUAGGGGAUCGAAGACGAUCAGAUACCGUCGUAGUCUUAACCAUAAACUAUGCCGACUAGGGAUCGGAUGAUGUUAAUUUUUUAAUGUACUCAUUCGGCGUCCG
rnacentral:rRNA from 1 species